CAUAAAUCUGUUUCCUGUGCUCCAAACUUGCCACCUAUUAGCAUAGUAUAAUUUUAAAAUCACAAAGAAAAAUAUCUGCUCAAGCAAGCGGAUUUGUAGGUUUACCUUCAUUUUUAGGAGUUCAAAGAGCUAGAAGUCUAUUAAUGAUGGCUCAGCUGUAUUCACAAACAACUUUCUAGCUAAGCUAUCAUUCUAAUUGUUUAUGCAGAAUUGGAGAUUGAAAGCCCAGCUAUAUGUGCAGGUUGUGAACAAACUUACUCUAGUUCCUAAAGGAUAUAAAUAGUGCAAUUAUGAUGUGUUGUUAUGGUCCAAGUACGG